CCUACGGGAGGCCGCAGUGGGGAAUAUUGCACAAUGGGGGAAACCCUGAUGCAGCGACGCCGCGUGAAGGAAGAAGUAUUUCGGUAUGUACACUUCUAUCAGCAGGGAAGAAAAUGACGGUACCUGACUAUGAAGCCCCGGCUAACUACGUGCCAGCAGCCGCGGUAAUACUUAGGGGGCAAGCGUUCUCCGGGUUUACUGGGUGUAAAGGGUGCGUAGGCUGUGAGGUAAGUCAGCGGUGAAAUGCCCCAGCGCAACGGGGUGAAGUGCCAUUGAUACUGGCUUGCUGGAAUGCGGAUGCCGUAGGAGGAAUGUGUGGUGUAGCGGUGAAAUGCAUAGAUAUCACACAGAACACCGAUUGCGAAGGCAGCUCACGAAUCCGCGAUUGACGCUGAUGCACGAAAGCGUGGGUAUCAAACAGGAUUAGAUACCCUUGUAGUC
rnacentral:rRNA from 1 species